AUCCUUUUCUGGUUCAUAAGCGUGAUGAUUGGGUUCUCACGCGCUUGUGUGAUAUGUGCCUUCCUCUGAACCUUGUUAUGAUGUGGGCACAUUACCGGUCUGACG